rnacentral:misc_RNA from 1 species
GAUGAAGAACGUAGCGAAAUGCGAUAAGUAGUGUGAAUUGCAGAAUUCAGUGAAUCAUCGAAUCUUUGAACGCACAUUGCGCCCUUUGGUAUUCCUUAGGGCAUGCCUGUUCGAGCGUCAUUUAAACCUUCAAGCUAAGCUUGGUGUUGGGUGACUGUCCGCUUCACUGCGGACUCGCCUCAAAAUUAUUGGCGGCCGGUACAUUGGCUUCGAGCGCAGCAGAAACGCGAACUCGGUCUCGUCGUAUUGGCUCCCAGAAGCUAUCUUCACAAUUUUGACCUCGGAUCAGGUAGGGAUACCCGCUGAACUUAAGCAUAUCAAUAAGCGGAGGA